UGACCUCCAAAAGUGCAUUUAACAAUUAAAAAAAAGGUUUUUUAUACACAAAUUUUCAACAUAUUAAAUAUUGCAAUACUACUUUGUCUAACAAAUCCCUUGAACCUAUGUCCAGUGAAUAAUGCACUUCUGUAUAAAUACUACAACAGUAUGAAAUUUAAAAAUGAUAUACAUAUACAUACGAAAUGAGGAAUUAAAUGAAGAAUAUGCUGCACAAGUUGCUUGAUGAUAUUUUUGUCACCAAAGCACAACCAUACUCGAAAUGUGGGUCAAAUUCAUGGUAAUAGUGGAG
rnacentral:lncRNA from 1 species